UACGGGGGGGGUAAGCGUUGUUCGGUAUUACUGGGCGUAAAGGGCUCGUAGGCGGCCAACUAAGUCAGACGUGAAAUCCCUCGGCUUAACCGGGGAACUGCGUCUGAUACUGGAUGGCUUGGAUUUGGGAGAGGGAUGCGGAAUUCCAGGUGUAGCGGUGAAAUGCGUAGAUAUCUGGAGGAACACCGGUGGCGAAGGCGGCAUCCUGGACCAUAACUGACACUGAAUAGCGAAAGCCAGGGGAGCAAACGGG
rnacentral:rRNA from 1 species